rnacentral:rRNA from 1 species
AUGCCGGAAGAUCUCACGGAGCGAAACCACACCCGCACCAGAGUCGCCCCCACCACGCACGGGAAAACCUCGCAGGCAACCGGCCGCCUCCUCCUCCGCCGCCGCCGCCGUCGAAGCAUCAGAAGCAGCCAGAGUAAGAUGUCGUUCCGGGCGCGGGAGAUUUACAAGAAGGUGGUGCGCCGCGUGGGCGGGGAGGGGAAGCUGCCGGCGGAGGUGAUGGACACGGUGAAGAACAUACUCCCGAAUAGCAAGGUCGUCAUGGGCCGGGCCAAGCGCGGCAUCUUCGCCGGCCGCCACAUCCAGUUCGGCAACAAGGUCUCCGAGGACGGCGGCAACAAGUCAAGGCGAAACUGGAAGCCGAACGUUCAGGAGAAACGUCUUUUCAGUUAUAUUCAUGACCGACACAUUAGAGUCAAAGUAACCACUCAUGCACUCCGGUGCAUUGACAAAGCUGGCGGGAUCGAUGAAUACCUCCUGAAGACACCUUACAACAAAAUGGAUACUGAGAUGGGAAUAGCCUGGAAGGCAAAGAUUGAGAAGAUGUAUUCAGAGCUAGCUGGGAUGGAAGUUGGCUUCUUCCCUCCCGAGGAAGAGGCUAAGAUAAAGCAGGGUUUCGAGGAGGUUCGAUCGGCCAAGAGAGAGUUCCGCAGCGAAUCAAGAAGGGCUUUGGGUGUGGCAAACCAGAGUCAGCUAGAAGCAACUAAAGCUGAUGAUGACGAAACGACUGAAGUCGUGGAUACAAAUGAAGAGGUGUCUGAUGUCGCAGAGAAGUCUUAG